ensembl:lncRNA
AGAAGUUAUCUGCUGAAAUUCAAAGACAAAUUUCCAUAUGUUACAAAAUUGAAAUCAAAAUUCCAUAAGGCACUCGCUCCAUCCCUCCAGCCAUCAUCCCAAAAGCAAAGGGGUUCAGUUUGUUCAGGUGGAGCUCGCUUUCUCCACCCCCAGUGCCAGCAAAUCUGUUUGGUGUGGGAGGACGGUGGAGCAUGCCGCCCACAGCCACCUGCUCUGCCGGAGGGCCCGCAGCCUUGCCAGCACUGUGCCAAGGCACCAGCUCGGGGUGGGAGUCUGCAGGAGGCACGGAUCAGCUGGGAGGUGUGCUGCUCUGCUUCUCCCUUGCUUGCGGGUGACCUUUGCUGAUAAAGAUUAGCCAGAGGCUUUUGGAACAUCACAUAGCACUGGAUACUGGGACUGAUGAUGAAGUCAUCCUGAGGGGAGCCUGAGGAACUAACUGCUGCUUUGUAAGCUUUUCUGCAGUGUGUCCCUGGUGUCUGAGGAAUCCUGGGGUGCAAGAAAAGAGAUAUAUUUGGAUUUUAAAAAAUGACUCCACGGUGUCUCCCCAUUUCCUAGUUGAGCAUACAUUAGUGGAUCACAAACCAUUCCCAUGAAGUGACAUGUCACCUUGAGCUGUUUGAAGAGGUCUGGAAGCAUCAUCUGACACUCUCAUCCCCAAGACCUGCUGAAGUUCCUCCAACCUCUCCCAUACAACGUAAAUCAGGCACGUUUACGUCACUCAGUCUGCAUUGCAGAGUCCUCUGCACUCCAUCUCAGAGAUGCUGAUAACCUGCUCACUUAUCCAAGCUCACUUAGUGGGUACAUGUGAUGUCUCCUCAACUGUUGGGGGUGUCUCAGUGCUACAUCAAAGAAGCAAUACAUGACUUGAGCUCUGUAAGACUGUUAUGUUUUCUCCAGGCUUUCAAACCAGACUGUUGCUGCUAGCCCUACCAAAAGAACUGCUGCCCGGCCAAGAAGAGCUGGAGCUCUGCUAAUGCAACUGUACUUAAGAAGGAGCCCUCACGCCUAGGAGGAUGGAUGCUCUCCUGGAAAAAGAUAAGAUGCUGGCUUUCCUUACAUGUGUAUCACUUGGCUGCAUUCAGUGUGAAGGAGCUUUGUGAGGAAAGAUGCUGUGUGGAAACAAAGAGAACAUGGUCAGGAGGAUGAAAGGUCAUGAUCAGACAAUCCUGGAAUUUAGAGCUGCCACCUCUGGUGUAUCUUUGCAUUCAGCGAUCCUCUUCGCACUCUUGGUUUGAGCUGGUGGAGGGGCCUGAACCUGCCUUCAGAGUCAGUCUCCAGUAUUUCCCAUCGUGAGCACUGCAGGUUUGGACUAUUAGGACGCAGGAACGCUUGGACUGAAGCUCAAACUAUGAAAUGCUGAUGCAAGAAGGAGCAGCAUGGUUCCCUGCCCACAGCACAGACCUUCCCUGCACCGGGAGCUGAGCACACCAGGAUGGGGUGAUGAGGUGACCACAGCAGGACAAUCUGCCCGACUCCUCUCAGGAAGAGAAAGCUUGCAGGGGAAUGUCUGCAGGUUUUCUGCUUCUAACGCUUCUCUCACCUGGAAGUGGUCCUGUGUCAUGACUAUGGAAGGCAAAAUCUUCCCCCUGUCUUGCAGUCCCUGUUUUCCCUGCUGCUACUGGAGCCACAGAGAAAGAAGGACGAAAGGAAGAUAGUUUCAAUGCCCCAUUGAAGAUGAGAGCUUGUUGGCAUUGCAUG